rnacentral:tRNA from 1 species
UGAAGUGCCUGAGUAAAGGGCCACCUUGAUAGGGUGGAUCAAGUGGGAACGCCCCACCUUCAU